rfam:Equus caballus chromosome 9, whole genome shotgun sequence.
AUCCUUUCAUGUUGCUUUGUUUAGCCCAGAUGAGAGGCUGCAUGGCCCCUUCUCUGGGCAAAGGCCGUGCCCUUCACCUCUCUUGUCCCCUGCUUUUGGACACUAC